CCCUUAGAUGUUCUGGGCCGCACGCGCGCUACACUGACGAAUGCAACGAGCUUAUAACCUUGGCCGAAAGGUCUGGGUAAUCUCCAAAUUUCGUCGUGAUGGGGAUAGAUUAUUGCAAUUAUUAAUCUUCAACGAGGAAUGCCUAGUAAGCGCAAGUCAUCAGCUUGCGUUGAUUACGUCCCUGCCCUUUGUACUCACCGCCCGUCGCUCCUACCGAUUGAAUGGUCCGGUGAAGCGUUCGGACCGUGGCCUUUGGACGGUUCGCCGUCUGUUGGCUGCGGGAAGUUCGUUAAACCUUAUCAUUUAGAGGAAGGAGAAGUCGUANCA
rnacentral:rRNA from 1 species